rnacentral:rRNA from 1 species
GACAGAGGUGCCGAGCGUUAGGCGGAAUCACUGGGCUUAAAGCGUGUGUAGGCGGGCUCGUAAGUAUCUUGUGAAAUCCCACGGCUCAACCGUGGAACUGCUGGGUAUACUGCGAGUCUUGAGACGACUAGGGGCUACCGGAACAAGUGGUGGAGCGGUGAAAUGCGUAGAUAUCACUUGGAACGCCAACGGCGAAAGCAGGUGGCUGGGGUCGUUCUGACGCUGAGACACGAAAGCCAGGGGAGCAAACGGGG